UACGGAGGGGGCUAGCGUUGUUCGGAAUUACUGGGCGUAAAGCGCGCGUAGGCGGCUUUGUAAGUUAGAGGUGAAAGCCCGGAGCUCAACUCCGGAACUGCCUUUAAGACUGCUUCGCUAGAAUUGUGGAGAGGUGAGUGGAAUUCCGAGUGUAGAGGUGAAAUUCGUAGAUAUUCGGAAGAACACCAGUGGCGAAGGCGACUCACUGGACACAUAUUGACGCUGAGGUGCGAAAGCGUGGGGAGCAAACAGG
rnacentral:rRNA from 1 species